rfam:Myotis brandtii contig156178, whole genome shotgun sequence.
GGCGGUUCUCAGGUGACACACCCCAGGAUCAGGCUCCCUUCUCUCUGGUUCCAGGUGGGUCACUGAGAACCAACU